rnacentral:rRNA from 1 species
UACGGGGGGGGCAAGCGUUGUUCGGAAUUACUGGGCGUAAAGAGUGUGUAGGCGGUGUUCUAAGUCUGUUGUGAAAUCUCCCGGCUUAACUGGGAGGGUGCGGCGGAAACUGGAAUGCUAGAGGAUGGGAGAGGUAAGCGGAAUUCCUGGUGUAGCGGUGAAAUGCGUAGAUAUCAGGAGGAACACCUGUGGUGUAGACAGCUUACUGGACCAUUUCUGACGCUGAGACACGAAAGCGUGGGUAGCAAACAGG